UAAUGUCACAUUUAACAGUAUAUAUAUAGGUAGAUAUACAAAGUAUUAAACUACAAUCAUAAAAUGUCUGGCCAAGAAAUUCCAGAACGUUCAAAGCAACAAAGUUUCAUGACUAGAUCGCCGAGAGAACCUCCAUGUGAUCUCAAUGAAAAUGGUUUACCAUUAAGACCUAAUCAAACCAUUUGCCCACAUUACAAUAGGUUCGGCCUCUGUAAACUUGGACCAACUUGUAGAUUCGAUCAUUCUACCAAACCACCCUCCUCAGACAGCAAACAAUAAAAUUGAAAGUGAUGUACAAAAUCAGUGUUUCAAUAUUGUUAUAUGCAAAUUCAGUUUCUUUUGUUUUGAUGCAAAGUUUAUUUGACUAGUAUACCUGAAUAAUAUUAAAGUAUGUUAUACAUUUUAGGAUCAACUUGAUCACCAUGGAACCGAAUCUUCAUAUCAUGUAAACAACUAUCUUAAGAUCCGCGCAAUUACGCGGGAUGAAUGUUAUAUAUAAAACUAAUUUUUAUCUAUUAUUAUUUAUUUGUAUCAUUUACGUAUUAUGUGUAUAAUUAAAUUAGAGUAAAGACAUAAAUCAAAUCAAUACAUCUUGUUUAUUUACGAUAUUUUUUUGGUAAAUAAAUCAAAACAAUCAUUUUAUUUAUUUCAUAUGAUAUAUAACUAAAUUUCAAAGACAUAGACAUAGAUAUGCAGUAUAUUUUAAUAUAAAUAUUUAUUAUUGAUAAUUCAUACUCAUAUGAUAAACACAAAAUUUCUAAUGUACAAUUUUUAAUGCAAAAUUCAAAAUUAAAAUAUUAAAGUUUCAAAACUUUUUCAAUAAAAAUUUAGAAAUUAUCAUAUUUAAGUAUUAUUCUAUGUUAUAUAGUUUAAUUUUAAACUAUAUUAUUAUAUAAUAUCAAUGUCUAGUAAACGAGAUUUCAUAUUCAUACGAUUUAUGAUCAUUUGUAUCUUAUUAUUACCAAAAAGAGUUUAACCAUUGAUCACAAAAUUUUAAUGUGAGACAUUUAACGUUUUUAAUAAUUUAUAGUCGUUUUAAAAAUUCAAAUAUAGCAUAUAAAAAAAUUAAUGUUUUAUUAUAUGGUUAAUGUAGUUGUUUAAUAUCUUUUAAUAAUAUAAAAUUAAACAAAAAAUAGCUAAGAUACAAAAAUUAUUAUCAAAUAUUUGUUAUUCAUAAUUAUUAAUUGUCAUAUAUAUGUUAAUCAUAUUAGGCAAUUCCGUAGCUUUUAUUUAAAGAAAAUGCGAGAAUAUUUUUUUGUACAUUAAUUUACAUUAUUCCUUAAGUCAAACACAGACACUAUUGAAGUACACUGAGAAAACGGUUAUGGGCGUGGAUUAUGGGUGCAAGGUUUUUUAAAUGAUGUUAAUAGGGCCUGUUUCUGAUGUUUUUGUGAAGUUGAAAAUGUUCGGUAUGGAGUGGACUCAACAGUUAAUGCAAAUAUGGAGUGUUUAUUUUGAUCAAGACAAUUGUAUGGAUAUUUCUCAGUCGUGGUCUUUGUGGAAAUUUAUGCUGAUACAAAUGAUAUUUCUUAAGUACUCUUGGGUCGUCUCGUUAUGUGUUGUUCAAGAUGGUUAUAAUAAUGGUUCUCGGAGUGUGACUUUAACCAAAGGUGUGAUGGAUUUAUAUAGGGGUGUUACAGGUGCAUUAAUCACCUUGAUAUGGUGUUCAUGGAAAUCUGGAAUUGUUUGGUUUUUGGGUGGCAUUGUACCUGAAUCCUCUAGCUCGUAUGAGCAAUUCAAUCACUUUUAUAUAUGAAAAUACUAAGUUGGAAUUGCAGAGGACUUGGAAGUCAUUGGACCAUAAGUUAUCUCAAGGAAAUACGUCAUAAACAUAAACCAGAUUUUUUAUUUCUCUCAGAGACUAAACAGGAGUUUGAAUUUGUUCAAAAAUUUCAAUCUCACUUUGGAUAUGAUAAUCUGGUCACUGUGGAUCCGAACGGGAGGAGUGGUGGUUUAGCUCUCUUCUAUAACAACGAGUACCAAGUAAAGAUCUUAUAUUCUAGUAACAGAAUGAUUGAUAUAGAAGCAGUGACUAAUGGGAAACAAGUCUUCCUUACUUUUGUUUAUGGAGAUCCGGUUCAAACGCUUAGAGAACAAGUAUGGGAAAGAUUAACUCGGUAUGGGCUAGCACGAUCUGAACCUUGGUUUAUUAUUGGGGAUCUAAAUGAGAUAACUGGGAAUCAUGAAAAGGAUGGGGGGGCUCUACGCAAUGCAGCUUCUUUUAUUCCUUUUAAUAAUAUGAUAAGGAAUAGUGGUUUACUGGAAUUUCCGGCUCGGGGUAAUAAGAUGUCAUGGCAAGGACGAAGAGGCAAAGGGAAAGGAGCAUUUACGGUUAGAUGUCGAUUGGAUAGAGCCUUGGCUAAUGAGGAAUGGCAUACACUUUUCCCAUAUUCUUAUACAGAAUAUCUGAGACUGGUGGGAUCGGAUCAUAGACCUGUGGUAGCUUUUUUGGACGAUAAGGUUACAGGACGGAAAAGAGGACAAUUCAGGUUUGAUAAGCGAUGGAUUGGCCAAGAAGGACUCAUGGAAUCAAUUGUAUCGGGGUGGACAGAAAAUCAGGAAAGCCUUUCUGAAGAUUUUAUGACAAAGAUUAAUAAUUGUCGUCAUGAAAUUUCAUCAUGGCGGAAAAAUAAUCAACCAUAUGGGAAGGACAAAAUUCAUAAUCUCCAAAACGCGCUGAAAGAAGUACAAACAGAUAAUAAUAGGUCACAAGAGGAAAUUAUUGAGAUUUCCAGGAAAUUACAAGAGGCAUAUAAGGAUGAAGAGGAAUAUUGGCACCAGAAGAGUAGAAAUAUGUGGUAUUCAUCUGGGGACCUAAAUACUAAGCUUUAUCAUGCUUUGACAAAGCAACGUCGGAUCCGAAACAAAAUAGUGGGUCUCCAUGAUGAAGCGGGUAAUUGGAUUACAGAAGAGAACGGUAUUGAGAAAGUGGCAGUGGAUUACUUUGCUGGUUUGUUUAGUUCAACUAACCCAAGGGAGUUUGAUAGUUUUUUGGAGGAAAUAGGUCCAUCAAUUUCCCCCCAGAUGAAUCAAUUGUUACUGCGAAGAGCUACGGAGGAAGAAGUUCGACAAGCACUAUUUAUGAUGCAUCCGGAGAAAGCGCCUGGCCCAGAUGGAAUGACGGCCCUCUUUUUCCAACACUCCUGGAAUGUCGUUAAGAAGGAUGUGGUUGAGUUGGUCAAUAAUUUUUUGGUCACAGGAGAUAUGGAUUCACGGUUAAACAUAACAAACAUUUGCAUGAUCCCAAAAAUAGAGAGACCUACAAGGAUGACGGAACUAAGACCGAUAAGCCUAUGUAACGUUGGUUACAAGAUCAUUUCGAAAGUUUUAUGUCAAAGAUUGAAAAUUUGUCUUCCCCAUCUAAUUUCGGAGACGCAAUCGGCUUUUGUGGCAGGAAGGUUAAUAUCGGAUAAUAUUCUCAUUGCGCAGGAAAUGUUCCAUGGUUUGCGAACCAACAAAUCUUGUCAAAAUAAGUUUAUGGCAAUUAAAACGGAUAUGAGUAAGGCAUAUGAUCGGAUAGAGUGGAAUUUUAUAGAGGCCUUACUUAAUAAAAUGGGAUUUGAUCCGCAUUGGGUUAAAUUAAUGCGAGAGUGUAUAUCUUCAGUUCAAUAUAGAGUUUUACUCAAUGGGCAGCCACGAGGUCUCAUUAUACCUCAGCGGGGACUACGGCAGGGGGAUCCAUUAUCUCCUUAUUUAUUUAUUAUAUGUACAGAGGCUCUAAUUAUGAAUAUAAAAAAGGCAGAGCGGAUGAAACAAUUGACCGGUAUGAAGGUAGCCAGAGCGUGUCCAGCUAUCUCUCACUUGCUAUUUGCAGAUGAUAGUUUGUUCUUUUGCAAGGCAAACAAAGAAGAGUGCCACACUAUUCUUAGGAUACUAAAGGAUUAUGAGGCUGUAUCAGGACAACAAAUUAAUUUUCAAAAAUCCUCAAUUCAAUUUGGACAUAAGAUUGAGGAAUCAAGCCGUCAGGAAUUGCGAGAUAUAUUGGGAAUUCAGAAUUUAGGAGGAAUGGGUUCUUAUUUAGGUCUGCCGGAAAGUUUAGGAGGAUCCAAGGUUCAAGUGUUUGGUUUUGUACAAGAUCGUCUGAAUAAUAGGGUGAAUGGUUGGACCUUUAGAUUUUUCACUAAAGGGGGAAAAGAGGUGAUUAUUAAGUCUGUGAUAACUGCGCUACCAAACCAUGUGAUGUCCGUGUAUCGGUUACCGAAAGCUACAGUGAAGAAACUAACGAGUGCGGUAGCCCAGUUUUGGUGGAGUCCAGGAGGAAGCACACGAGGUAUGCAUUGGAAAUCAUGGGAUAAAUUGUGUGAACAUAAGGAUAAUGGUGGGUUAGGGUUCAAGGAUCUGAAUGAUUUUAAUACGGCAAUGCUUGGAAAGCAAUUGUGGAGGCUGAUCGAGAAGCCAAAUUCUCUUUUCUCUCGAGUUUUCAAAGGACGGUAUUACAGGAAUGCUUCACCCCUGGAUCCGAUUCGCUCAUAUUCCCCGUCGUAUGGCUGGAGGAGUAUCACCUCUGCUAGAUCUCUGGUUUGUAAAGGACUAAUUAAAAGGGUGGGUACAGGAUCAUCUAUCUCAGUAUGGAAUGAUCCUUGGAUCCCAUCCACUCGCCCGAGACCAGCUAACAAAAAUUCUCAUCACAGUUAUUCGGACCUUACAGUGGAUUCCCUUAUUCAUCAGGAUUCCCGCACUUGGAAUUUACAGGCACUUAGGACUUUGGUGGAGCCUAACGAUGCAAAGUUGAUUGAAAGUAUUCCUCUGAGUAGAAAUCAGAUGGAAGAUAGGAAUGGUUGGCAUUUCACUAAUAAUGGGAAAUAUUCGGUACAAUCAGGGUAUCAAGUAGAAAGGAUCUAUCCUGACAAGGAAAAACCACCAGAUUUUUAUGGUCCCAAUGUGGAUAUACUCAAGGCAUUUUGUUGGAAAGUGAAGUGUCCUCCAAAACUACGGCAUUUUCUAUGGCAGUUGGUGACAGGUUGUAUAGCAGUGACAAAGAAUCUAAAAUCUAGGGGAAUACAAGGAGAUACAGUUUGUGCACGGUGUGGAGACGCAGAGGAAUCAAUAAAUCAUGUCUUCUUUGAGUGUCCUCCGGCACGGCAAGUGUGGGCACUAUCUAAGAUUCCAUCAAAUCCAAAUUUUUUUCCAACUGGUUCUCUUUUUACUAAUAUGGAUCAUUUAUUUUGGAGAGUUAACCCAAAAAUGGAGGAUCAUCAGUUUGCAUGGAUACUAUGGUAUAUUUGGAAGGGCCGGAAUAAUAAAGUUUUCAGUAAUAUUGAUAUUGAACCGAGAGAGACGCUAAACUUAGCAGAAUUGGAGUCAAGACUUUGGGCUGAGGCACAAAAUAUCAAUAAUCCAAGGGUCGUACCUGAAGUACAGCUUAGAUUGCCCUUAGUGACCACAGGAAGAUGGUGUUUCACGGAUGGGUCUUGGAAAGAUAAAGAUGUUUUUUCAGGACAAGGUUGGCUCAGUACCCUUCCAGGGUUUGAGGGUUUGUUAGGGGCAAAGAAUGUAAGGGCAAGUUUAUCACCUCUUCAUGCGGAGAUAGAGGCAUUGACUUGGGCAAUGGAAUGUAUGAAAAACUUAAGACAAUAUCAGGUCACAUUUGCAACGGAUUGUUCUCAACUGGUGAAGAUGGUUUCAGAACCAGAGGAAUGGCCAGCAUUUGGAAGUUACCUGGAGGAUAUCAAGCUUUUGAGAAGAAGCUUCAUCAACUCAGAAAUUGUUCAUGUUUCGAGGACAGACAAUAAAAUGGCGGAUCGCUUGGCACGCAGUGCUCGGAUACAACCGUCGUUCGUCAUACACAUGGAUGCAGAGUUGUCACUAUGGUUUACGGAGUCUAUAUGAGUCUGUAAAUGUUCUUGCUGUCAAAAAAAAAAAAAAAGUUAGUUUAAUAAAAAUUAUAAUAUAAAUUAAGAUAAACCAACAUCUUUCUUUAAAAAUUCUGAAUUUUAUUCUCAUUGUGACAUGUGAGUACAAAAUAUUGUUGUAGUGUUUCUCAACUAAUAUAUUAAAAAUGAUAUCUAGCAUUUAUUAAUAGCUAUGUUAAGUAAAUAAAAUUUCAACUAUAUAUUUAUAUAUAUAUAUAUAUAUAUAAACUUAUUAAACAUGUCAUUUUAGUACUCAAUGGGAUCACAUUUUCCAAUAAUAAUAAUAAUAAUAUAACAAAUAUAUUUAUUUAAUAUUCAAUGUUAGAUCUCAUUUUGCAAUAUAUAUGAAACAUAUCAUUUUAGUAUUAAAUAUUAGAUCUCAUUUUGCAUAUAUAUAUAUACAUAUAUAUCAAACAUGUCAUUUAGGUAUUUAAUGUAAUAUCACAUUUAACAGUAUAUAUAUAUAUAGGUAGAUAUACAAAGUAUUAAACUACAAUCAUAAAAUGUCUGGCCAAGAAAUUCCAGAACGUUCAAAGCAACAAAGUUCCAUGACUAGAUCGCCGAGAGAACCUCCAUGUGAUCUCAAUGAAAAUGGUUUACCAUUAAGACCUCAUCAAACCAUUUGCCCACAUUACAAUAGGUUCGGCCUCUGUAAACUUGGACCAACUUGUAGAUUCGAUCAUUCUACCAAACCACCCUCCUCAGACAGCAAACAAUAAAAUUGAAAGUGAUGUACAAAAUCAGUGUUUCAAUAUUGUUAUAUGCAAAUUCAGUUUCUUUUGUUUUGAUGCAAAGUUUAUUUGACUAGUAUACCUGAAUAAUAUUAAAGUAUGUUAUACAUUUUAGGAUCAACUUGAUCACCAUGGAACCGAAUCUUCAUAUCAUGUAAACAACUAUCUUAAGAUCCGCGCAAUUACGCGGGAUGAAUGUUAUAUAUACAACUAAUUUUUAUCUAUUAUUAUUUAUUUGUAUCAUUUACAUAUUAUAUGUAUAAUUAAAUUAGAGUAAAGAC
rnacentral:lncRNA from 1 species